AAUGCCUGUCUCUUUCUCUCACUGUGCACGUACAUCUGUUUCUCUCAUUGUCUUUAUGUUGCCAACAGGACCUGUAUGUAUACUGGAGAAAGGGAGGAGGUGGCCUCAUGGCCAUAAACAAGCACUCAAACGUCUCUCCCCCAAAAUGAGGACAUUUAGCACAGCGCUAUUAAGAACAGGUCUGUCUACCUGGCUAUCUGUUUACACCCUUUCAAGCAUGCUCAUCUGAGACAAGACCAAACCAGAAGAACUACAUUAGGGCUCGGCGACUUGCUUUGUGACCUGUGCCCAACUCUCUGUCACAGCUGAGGAACCUGGGAUACGGUGACGACGGGAAACAGCCUCACCAUGGCUCGCACAGUGAAAGAGGUGCAGAGUUGCGAUUUGAACCCAGGUUUGCCUUAACAAUCUGUGCUGUAAAUUACCGCUUUCUAUAGCCUCACAUUAAGUGUCAUUUUCUCACUGAAUGCUUUGAACUGAAAUUUGGAAGACUUGGUUUUUAGUUAUUAGCAGCCAGCAUUCAGAAAAUGAGAAAA